rnacentral:rRNA from 1 species
GUGCCAGCCGCCGCGGUAAGACGAACCGUGCGAACGUUAUUCGGAAUCACUGGGCUUAAAGCGUGCGUAGGCGGCAUUGUAAGUUAGGGGUGAAAUCCCAUCGGCUCAACCGUGGAACUGCCUUUAAUACUGCAAUGCUUGAGGGAGGUAGGGGAAUGUGGAACUUCCAGUGGAGCGGUGAAAUGUGUUGAGAUUGGAAGGAACGCCAGUGGCGAAAGCGACAUUCUGGAUCUCUUCUGACGCUGAGGCACGAAAGCUAGGGUAGCGAACGGGAUUAGAAACCCUCGUAGUCC